rnacentral:ncRNA from 24 species
AUUACAAUGCGCGCUGUUGGUGCUCGCGGUGUGGUUCACAUGCCGCAGUUCAACGGGAAGCAGGAGGGAAAGUCCACACGGACCGACCUAACCUGCGCUGCCCCCGCAACGGUAAGCAGACGAGAUGCCUGAUGUCUUCAGGCCACUCCGCUUUCAUCUCACAACCACUGGACGGCUCGCGCUGUCUGGGAAGGUGAUGAAGGUCGCUCUGCCAGCCCGGAUACCGGCCAACGAGGUGGUGGUGCGU